rnacentral:tRNA from 1 species
GCCCCCAUAGCUCAAUUGGUAGAGCAGGACCCUCUUAAGGUCAAGGUCGUAGGUUCGAAUCCUACUGGGGGCACCA